rnacentral:lncRNA from 1 species
AAAUGAUACGUUUACAUUUAUGUUUAAAUUUUGUCCCUCCUUCUUGCAAAUAAAUAAAUUCCCUAGAGGAGUGGCGGGGAAUGGUGGAGUGGAGGACCCUGGACAGCCAGCUGCCUGGAAAAAUCAUCUCUAUCCCUGGAACACAUGUGGUUCCCAAAAGCCAAUGACAAACAGCAGCACUCGAUGCUGGAAGACAACGGAGGAGCAUCUGUCUAACUCGAGAAUAAAGUAUCCAGCCAAGAGGUCCAGACUGGAAAGUAACACACCAUCCAUCUCAAACAGCCAGAAACCCAGGGAAUACAGACGGCAUUCAUGAGCUCUUCUCAGAAAAUAUCACCCAGGUGACAAAAUCCAGACCAAUGAAAGAGGAAAUCAAAAUAAAGAUAGAGGCAUGGACAAGCUGUGAUCAAAGGUCUAAUGGGGCAGAGGGGAGACAAACUAAGGAGCAACAUUCCCUGGAGGAAGCCGUUCAAAACCUUUCCAUCUGGAAAGAUGAGGACCUUGGGCUGGUCGCUUUGAAAGCCAAUCUGCCUGUACUUCAAAGAGAUACCAUGCUGUGGGAUCUACCAGGUGCUGUGAAGCCAUCAUCCAGAAAUUUCUCUGAAAAAACAUACUUUAUAGCUUUGCUUCAAAAUCUUGUUAUAUUUGAUUUCAGUGUUCAGUGUUUAAAAUGUUAAGUUCAAGCCCUUUCAACAGAAAGCCCUCUGCAUGGAGGCCAGGCUGCCAACACCGCAGGUGGAGAUCGGAUGACAGGGACUGCACACAAAUGGGUCUCCUCACUGGGGAUCCAGGGAGAAGGUGGAGGGACGGACGCUGAUACAAAGACUUAAAGGUAGUUUCUAGAAGAACCACUGACUGAAAUGCAGCAGGGGUUUGAUGGUCAGUGAAUUAAUGCCUUCUAUGCCUGAGCUUCCUCUUUCUGCUGAACUAGGAAAAGUGACAUCAGGCGACCAUCAAACAUGAAGUUUUUGCAAUAAUAGUAUCAGUAACUGUAACAUCAAAAACAAUAGCUACUACUUGCUAAGCUUCUGUUACAUUAUCAGGCACUAAGCUGACUUAUCUAUGUACCUUAUCUCAUUUCUUUUUCUUUUUCUUUUUUGAGGAAGGGUCUUGCUCUGUCACCCAGGCUGCAGUGCAGUAACACCACCUUGGCUCACUGCAACCUCCACCUCCUGGGUUCAAGUGAUCCUCCCACCUUAGCCUCCAGAACAGCUGGGAUUACAGGUGCAUAUCACCACAACUGGCUAAUUUUUAGUUUUUUUGUAGAGAUGAGAUCUUACUCUGUUGCCCAAGCUGAUCUCAAACUCUUGGGCUCAAGCAAUCCUCCUGCCUCAGACUCCCAAAGUGCUGGGAUUGUAGGCAUGAACCACCACACCCAGCCACCUCAUUUCAUUUCAACCUCCUAACACGCCAGUGCAGUAGGUCUCCUCAUCUUACAGGCCUGGAGGACUUAAGUACAAGUUCAAGGUCACAUGGCCAGUAAUGGCAGACCCAGGGUAUGGAGGAAUGACCAUCUGACUCUGUAUUAGUCCGUUUUCACGCUGCUGAUAAAGACGCACCCACGACUGGGAAGAAAAAGAGGUUUACUUGACUUACAGUUCCACAUGGCUGGGGAGGCCUCACAAUCAUGGCAGAAGACAAUGAGGAGCAAGUCACCUCUUACAUGGAUGGCAGUAGGCAAAGAGAGAGAACUUGGGCAGGGAAACUCCCAUUUUAAAAACCAUCAGAUCUCCUGAGACUCAUUCACUAUCACAAGAACAGCACAGAAAAGACUCACCCCAUAAUUCAAUCACCUCCCACCUGGAUCCACCCACCACAUGUGGGAAUUGUGGGAGUUACAAUUCAAGAUGAGAUUUGGGUGGGGACACAGCCAAACCAUAUCAGACUCUAAAGUCCAGACUCUUAACCAUGUGAUCAUGUUUAUUCCCUGCCUGGUACCAACUUGGAAGCAACUGGUCUCCAGAGAGGGAUGAAAGUCAGGGGCACAGUGACUGUCCACUGACUUGCACAAAAUUGAUAAACCUGCCCGUAAGAGGUUUAGACACAAAGCUGCCUUGAGGCCACUAAACAUGUUCAUGUAUGUGUUAAGUUUGAGUGGAUGAAGCAUUAAACUCCUAACUCUACUUACAAAGGAGAAUGAGCUGGGUCUAAGUUCUGGGCCUCACUCAGUUUACCCUGUGUCCCCAGGUGAGUUGCUGAGCUUCAAGCCCUCACCUUUGCUAUGGGAAAAUGUGCCCUGAUUAGCUCACAAAAAAAAGGCUGCUGAGGGGUCAAAACGAAAUUAACAGCUAAGAAUCAGUGUUUUGUGAUUGCUUUAAUAGGGUUCUAGUUUUUACAGAAAAUUUAAAAUUUUGAUGAUGGCAUCUUUUAUUUCUCAGAUGCUACUGAAUCUGCCUAUUAGAAGCUUGGAUGCUUAGACCAUGAAGCCACAGUGGAAACUUUAAGACAGUCCUCAAGAGCUAGCAGCAGUCUUGGGGGUAGAGAUCACUGACAUGCAGGCAGAAAGGCCAGACCUCCCCAACCAACCCCCUGCCCCUGGAACCCCAAUAAUGUCUCUCAUUUGGUUGGCAGUUUUGUAAAACUGGGAGUUGAAUGUCUUGAGUCUGGCAUAUAUUGCUAGUUGUGAUAAUUCCCACUAACUUCUCUUGUACUAUAUGAGGCAUUUUACACAUUCAUAUUAUUAAUCUGCCUGGACCAUGAAGGCUUUUUACCCAGCACUGAAGAGUUAGUUGAUUAAUUUGUUCUUUUUUCUCA